rnacentral:rRNA from 1 species
UACAGAGGGGGCAAGCGUUAUUCGGAAUUAUUGGGCGUAAAGGGCGCGUAGGCGGCUUGGCAAGUGGAUGGUGAAAUCCCUCGGCUUAACCGAGGAACUGCCGUCCAAACUGCUUCGCUUGAGACCGGGAGAGGUGAGUGGAAUUCCCAGUGUAGCGGUGAAAUGCGUAGAUAUUGGGAGGAACAUCGGUGGCGAAAGCGGCGCGCUGGACCUCUUCUGACGCUGAGGCGCGAAAGCCAGGGGAGCGAACGGG